rnacentral:tRNA from 1 species
CCGUCGAUAGUUCAGUUGGUAGAGCGGUGGACUGUAGAAGUUUCGGUAACACAGACAUCCAUAGGUCGCUGGUUCGAAUCCGGCUCGACGGA